CAAAAGGCUUUGCUUAAAGCCACUUCUGAGAUUAAUAGAAAAUUGA
rfam:Camelus ferus unplaced genomic scaffold scaffold812, whole genome shotgun sequence.